rnacentral:rRNA from 1 species
UACAGAGGUCCCAAGCGUUGUUCGGAUUCACUGGGCGUAAAGGGUGCGUAGGCGGUCGGGUAAGUCUGAUGUGAAAUCUCACAGCUUAACUGUGAAACUGCAUUGGAUACUAUCCGGCUAGAGGAAUGGAGGGGAGACUGGAAUACUUGGUGUAGCAGUGAAAUGCGUAGAUAUCAAGUGGAACACCAGUGGCGAAGGCGAGUCUCUGGACAUUUCCUGACGCUGAGGCACGAAGGCGUGGGGAGCAAACAGG